CCUACGGGAGGCAGCAGUGAGGAAUAUUGGUCAAUGGGCGAGAGCCUGAACCAGCCAAGUCGCGUGAGGGAGUACUGCCCUAUGGGUUGUAAACCUCUUUUGUCGGGGAGCAAAAGCCGGACGUGUCCGGCUGUGAGAGUACCCGAAGAAAAAGCAUCGGCUAACUCCGUGCCAGCAGCCGCGGUAAUACGGAGGAUGCGAGCGUUAUCCGGAUUUAUUGGGUUUAAAGGGUGCGCAGGCGGAUUUUUAAGUCAGCGGUAAAAUCGUGGGGCUCAACCCCAUCCAGCCGUUGAAACUGGGGAUCUAGAGUGUGCGAGAGGUAUGCGGAAGGCGUGGUGUAGCGGUGAAAUGCAUAGAUAUCACGCAGAACCCCGAUUGCGAAGGCAGCAUACCGGUGCACAACUGACGCUCAGGCACGAAAGCGUGGGUAUCGAACAGGAUUAGAUACCCCAGUAGUC
rnacentral:rRNA from 1 species